rnacentral:rRNA from 1 species
GACGAACGCUGGCGGCGUGCUUAACACAUGCAAGUCGAACGGAAAGGCCUGCUUUCCCUUGUGGAUUGCGGGUACUCGAGUGGCGAACGGGUGAGUAACACGUGAGUGAUCUGCCCCCAACUUGGGUAUAAGCCUGGGAAACUGGGUCUAAUUCCCGAUAGGACUGCAGGGUGGUGCCUGUGGUGGAAAACGAUUUUCUAGUGGUUGGGGAUGAGCUCGCGGCCUAUCAGCUUGUUGGUGGGGUAAUGGCCUACCAAGGCGGCGACGGGUAGCCGGCCUGGGAGGGUGGACGGCCACAUUGGGACUGAGAUACGGCCCAGACUCCUACGGGAGGCAGCAGUGGGGAAUAUUGCACAAUGGGCGGAAGCCUGAUGCAGCGACGCCGCGUGGGGGAUGACGGCCUUCGGGUUGUAAACUCCUUUCGACCGAGAGGAAGCCACCUGGUUGGAAGGGUGGUGACGGUAGUGGUAGAAGAAGCACCGGCUAACUACGUG